GGGACAGUGGCUGCUUGUUCCGCUGAGGCUGUGCAACAAGCUCAUAGCCCUGUCUGGGCUCUGUUGCUGCCGCCGCUCUUGCUUCUCAGGCCUCGGCCCUCUCCCCCUAGUUGCUAGGGCUGGCGCUUGCAGGGAGGCAGUGGGACUGGUUGUGAUCACCUACACUCAGGAGCUCUUUUGCGUGCCAGUGACUCAUGACUAAUAAAAUGCACGUGAACAGCACAGUGUGCAGAGGGAGGAAAACACCUCUUUUAGUACAAACGUUACUGACAAGGGAUUUUUCUCAUCUUCCCUGCUAUAGAGCGUAAUAUAUAAAACAUGUCUCCUUCGAGCCGGAAUCGAACCAGCGACCUAAGGAUUCCCAUAGGCAGCACCUCUACAGUCCUCCGCUCUACCAGCUGAGCUAUCGAAGGGACUUUAAAAUGAGGACCACAGGGAAGUAACAGUUUCAGUGCUGGAACAAAGUUGUGGAGGUUCAUCCGAUUCUCUUUUUUCUUU